rnacentral:rRNA from 1 species
GGACCCGCACAAGUAGUGGAGCAUGUGGUUUAAUUCGAAGAUACGCGCAGAACCUUACCAACACUUGACAUGUUCGUCGCGACUUUAAGAGAUUAAAGUUUUCGGUUCGGCCGGACGAAACACAGGUGCUGCAUGGCUGUCGUCAGCUCGUGUCGUGAGAUGUUGGGUUAAGUCCCGCAACGAGCGCAACCCUCACUUUUAGUUGCCAUCAUUUAGUUGGGCACUCUGAAAGAACUGCCAGUGAUAAGCUGGAGGAAGGUGGGGAUGACGUCAAGUCCUCAUGGCCCCUUACGUGUUGGGCUACACACGUGCUACAAUGGUAUCUACAACAGGAAGCAAGACUGCGAAGUUAAG